rnacentral:rRNA from 1 species
UACAGAGGGUGCGAGCGUUAAUCGGAAUUACUGGGCGUAAAGCGUGCGUAGACGGUUAUGUAAGUCGGGUGUGAAAGCCCCGGGCUCAACCUGGGAAUUGCAUUCGAGACUGAAUAGCUAGGGUACGGUAGAGGGAAGUGGAAUUUCCGGUGUAGCGGUGAAAUGCGUAGAUAUCGGAAGGAACAUCAGUGGCGAAAGCGACUUCCUGGCCCAACACUGACGCUGAGGUGCGAAAGCGUGGGUAGCAAACAGG